GAUGAACGCUGGCGGCGUGCCUAAUACAUGCAAGUCGAGCGAACAGACGAGGAUCUUGCUCCUCUGACGUUAGCGGCGGACGGGUGAGUAACACGUGGAUAACCUACCUAUAAGACUGGGAUAACUUCGGGAAACCGGAGCUAAUACCGGAUAAUAUAUUGAACCGCAUGGUUCAAUAGUGAAAGACGGUUUUGCUGUCACUUAUAGAUGGAUCCGCGCCGCAUUAGCUAGUUGGUAAGGUAACGGCUUACCAAGGCAACGAUGCGUAGCCGACCUGAGAGGGUGAUCGGCAACACUGGAACUGAGACACGGUCCAGACUCCUACGGGAGGCAGCAGUAGGGAAUCUUCCGAAAUGGGCGAAAGCCUGACGGAGCAACGCCGCGUGAGUGAUGAAGGUCUUCGGAUCGUAAAACUCUGUUAUUAGGGAAGAACAAAUGUGUAAGUAACUAUGCACGUCUUGACGGUACCUAAUCAGAAAGCCACGGCUAACUACGUG
rnacentral:rRNA from 1 species